rnacentral:rRNA from 1 species
GACGAACGCUGGCGGCGUGCUUAACACAUGCAAGUCGAACGGAAAGGCCCUGCUUUUGUGUGGUUCUCGAGUGGCGAACGUGUGUGUAACACGGGAGUCUCCUUCCCUGUACUUUGUGAUAUCUUCAGACGACUGGUGCUAAUACCUGCUUGGUGCUCCUGCUGCUUGGUGGGGGUUGGACAGCUUCGGCGGUUGGGGAUGGACUGCCGGCUUAUCAGCUUGUUGGUGGGGUAGUUGCUUACCAAGGCUUUGACGGGUAGCCGGCCUGAGAGGUGGGACGGGCACAAGGGGACUGAGAGACGGCGCAGACUGCUACGGGAGGCAGCGGGGGGGAAUAUUGCACAGUGGGCGGAAGCCUGAGGAAGCAGCGCCGCGUGCGGGAUGAAGGCCUUCGGGUUGUAAACCGCUGUAGCCUGUGACGAAGCGUGAGUGACGUUAAUGGGUAAAGAAGCACCGGCUAACUACGUG